rnacentral:piRNA from 1 species
CCCUUCGUGUUUUGNGACCCUCCCUUUUAGG